rnacentral:rRNA from 1 species
AUGAACAACUUCACAACCGGAGCCACGGGAACUUCUGCUGUACUUCUCGACUCCGGAAACUUUGUCAUCCGGUUGCCCAACAACACAGACAUAUGGCAAAGCUUCCAUUACCCAACCGACACCAUCCUCCCCGGCAUGCAAUUACCACUGAGCACAGAUGAUGAUCUCUACACUCGCCUCGUGGCUUGGAGGGGCCCUGAUGACCCAGCCACCAGCGACUACUCCAUGGGCGGUGACUCUAGUUCAGACCUCCAGGUUGUCAUCUGGAAUGGGACGAGGCCGUAUUGGCGCAGAGCUGCAUGGGAUGGUGCGUUGGUCACUGCCCUGUAUCAAAGCAGCACUGGCUUCAUCAUGACCCAAACAACUGUCGACAUAGGGGUUUUUAGCGUGGAACAGCACCUCAUCGUCAUGGAAUGUUUUCAUAGAGCGGCCUAA